UACGUAGGUGGCGAGCGUUAUCCGGAAUUACUGGGCGUAAAGGGCACGCAGGCGGUCAUUUAAGUCUGACGUGAAAGCUCCUGGCUUAACUGGGAGAGGUCGUUGGAAACUGGAUGGCUUGAGGCAAUGAGAGGGGUGCAGAAUUCCCGGUGUAGUGGUGGAAUGCGUAGAUAUCGGGGGGAAUACCAGUGGCGAAAGCGGCGCCCUAGCAUUGACCUGACGCUGAGGUGCGAAAGCGUGGGGAGCGAACGGG
rnacentral:misc_RNA from 1 species